rnacentral:rRNA from 1 species
AUUGAACGCUGGCGGCAGGCCUAACACAUGCAAGUCGAACGGUAACAGGAAGAAGCUUGCUUCUUUGCUGACGAGUGGCGGACGGGUGAGUAAUGUCUGGGAAACUGCCUGAUGGAGGGGGAUAACUACUGGAAACGGUAGCUAAUACCGCAUAACGUCGCAAGACCAAAGAGGGGGACCUUCGGGCCUCUUGCCAUCGGAUGUGCCCAGAUGGGAUUAGCUAGUAGGUGGGGUAACGGCUCACCUAGGCGACGAUCCCUAGCUGGUCUGAGAGGAUGACCAGCCACACUGGAACUGAGACACGGUCCAGACUCCUACGGGAGGCAGCAGUGGGGAAUAUUGCACAAUGGGCGCAAGCCUGAUGCAGCCAUGCCGCGUGUAUGAAGAAGGCCUUCGGGUUGUAAAAUACUUUCAGCGGGGAGGAAGGGAGUAAAGUUAAUACCUUGGCUCAUUGACGUUACCCGCAGAAGAAGCACCGGCUAACUCCGUG